rnacentral:misc_RNA from 1 species
UCACGCCUUACGACGGCAGUUUCACUAGAGUUCCCAGCAUUACCUGAUGGCAACUAGUGAUAGGGGUUGCGCUCGUUAUGGGACUUAACCCGACAUCUCACGACACGAGCUGACGACAGCCAUGCAGCACCUGAUACUAGUGUCCCGAAGGCCUACCGUAUCUCUACGGUAUUCACUAGCACUUCAAACCCAGGUAAGGUUUUUCGCGUUGCAUCGAAUUGAACCACAUGCUCCACCGCUUGUGCGGGCCCCCGUCAAUUUCUUUGAGUUUUAAUCUUGCGACCGUACUUCCCAGGCGGAUCACUUAACGCGUUAGCUUCGGCACUGGAGGGGUCAAUACCUCCAACACCUAGUACUCAUCGUUUACAGCGUGGACUAC